UACGUAGGGGGCAAGCGUUGUCCGGAUUUAUUGGGCGUAAAGCGCGCGUAGGCGGCGCGGUAUGUCGUGCGUGAAAUCUCCCGGCUUAACUGGGAGGGGCCGUGCGAAACUGCCGGGCUUGAGGUCAGAAGAGGAAAGUGGAAUUCCGGGUGUAGUGGUGGAAUACGUAGAUAUCCGGAGGAACACCAGCGGCGAAGGCGGCUUUCUGGUCUGAUACUGACGCUGAGGCGCGAAAGCGUGGGGAGCGAUCCGG
rnacentral:rRNA from 1 species